rnacentral:piRNA from 1 species
UAUGAAUAGCCCAGUCAGUGUUAACAGGCC